CCCGUCUCAAAGGGGUGCUUGUUUUACAGGCUGAGAUUAUACCCAUAGAACCUGGGCGGGUAAUGCUGCCAAGGAAAUGAGAAAUUUCUUGAC
rnacentral:ncRNA from 2 species